GACGAACGCUGGCGGCGUGCUUAACACAUGCAAGUCGAACGAUGAAGCCGGAGCUUGCUCUGGUGAAUUAGUGGCGAACGGGUGAGUAACACGUGAGUAACCUGCCCUUGACUCUGGGAUAACUGCUAGAAAUGGUAGCUAAUACCGGAUACGACCCUCGGAGGCAUCUCCAGGGGGUGGAAAGAAUUUCGGUCAAGGAUGGACUCGCGGCCUAUCAGCUAGUUGGUGAGGUAACGGCUCACCAAGGCGACGACGGGUAGCCAGCCUGAGAGGGUGACCGGCCACACUGGGACUGAGACACGGCCCAGACUCCUACGGGAGGUAGCAGUGGGGAAUAUUGCACAAUGGGCGCAAGCCUGAUGCAGCAACGCCGCGUGAGGGAUGACGGCCUUCGGGUUGUAAACCUCUUUUAGUAGGGAAGAAGCGAAAGUGACGGCACCUGCAGAAAAAGCACCGGCUAACUACGUGCCAGCCGCCGCAGUAA
rnacentral:rRNA from 1 species